UACGGAGGAUCCAAGCGUUAUCCGGAAUCAUUGGGUUUAAAGGGUCCGUAGGCGGUUUGGUAAGUCAGUGGUGAAAGCCCAUCGCUCAACGGUGGAACGGCCAUUGAUACUGCCAGACUUGAAUUAUUAGGAAGUAACUAGAAUAUGUAGUGUAGCGGGUGAAAUGCUUAGAGAUUACAUGGAAUACCAAUUGCGAAGGCAGGUUACUACUAAUGGAUUGACGCUGAUGGACGAAAAGCGUGGGGUAGCGAACAGG
rnacentral:rRNA from 1 species